GGAUGUGAUGGCAAUCUGGCUGCAAUGUCUGUCACCCCAUUGAAUACCAGAGUUGACUGGCUAGCCUGGUGUCCCCUCACUGUUCCAUGUGCUUCCCUACCAAAGCUGCAUACUCCAUUGUUGAGGACAACCUUUACCUGUAAAGGAGGACCUUUCUUGGGUCAAUGGUGUAGCAGUAUCUAUGUUCCCAUGUUAGAAUCUCCAGACAGGCUCUCCAGGUCCAAAAUCAUACUCAUUCAAUUAUCAUUUGAAGUCUAUGAUUUGGCCCUAAAUAUUUGACAAACCAUGUACUAAAUUCCAU
rnacentral:snRNA from 1 species